UUCUUGUAAAGCAUAAAGAUUCUGGCAACCACGCGGCAAACUCAAAUAAAGGGCGGCAAAACUUCCACCACGUUUCUCUCCCCCUCCCCGCCCCCCUCUCUCUCUCUCUCUCUCUCUCUUUCUUUCUGGAGCCUCCGAGAAUUUCUCAUCUAAUACUACCCAGCUUCCAUUGCUUAUCCUACUGCUGGACCCAAUUACUUGAAGUUAGUUUACGCGAGUGGCAAUGAAGGUGAGUAGGGCCUGUCUCAUGUCUAAUGACUUGCACUAGUUAUGGGAGUACUGGAUGAGCUAUCAAGAGGCAGCAAUUGGUCACAAGUCUUUGGUUGAUCACAUAAUGACCGCCGUUAACAAGAAAGUUAUUCUUGCUGCUCGUGCAAAUGCUGAGAAAUGUGGCAUUGAGAAAAUGGACAUUUUUGGAAAUGAUUUUAUGGCAAGCUGUAAGGAUCUUAGUAAUAUCAAUUGAUAGAAGAUGGGGAUUUCCUGGAUGUCAAGAGAAAGAUGAAGACAUUUGACGUAGUGGUGGAAAAGGGUAACUGAAGGAGAAAUGUCCAAGAUCAAACUCUUUACUAUACUGGGAAAGUAAAUGCAACCUGGCCUUUAGAGGUCGCGGUGCUCGAGUUUUCUGGUCAAAUCCUCUGACACAUACGAACCCUGUGGUGCAUUUUUGAAAUUACACCAGUGUGAAAAUUACGGCUCAAUAAUCAUCAAUGUACAAGAGGGACAAUACUGAAAGAAAGCCCGUUUGAUACCUUUCCAGAAGCAGUACUGGAUAUCUUCAGUUGACAUGCCUGGUUCCAUAUCAAACUUCUCGGCACAUCGAUAGGGUUCAAACUGGAUUCGUGAUCCGCAAAUACCUGCAUAAGAGUAAUAAUGGAUUGCAUUUCUAUUUCCUCCACUGAAAGCAUGUAACUAUUCAUUGAGUAAGGAA